UGUAUGUACCGUUCGAAUAAGCAUCGGCUAAUUCCGUGCCAGCAGCCGCGGUAAUACGGAAGAUGCGAGCGUUAUCCGGAUUUAUUGGGUUUAAAGGGAGCGUAGGCGGUAUGUUAAGUCAGCGGUCAAAUGUCAGUGCCCAACAUUGGCCUGCCGUUGAUACUGGCGUACUUGAAUACACACAAGGAAGGUGGAAUUCGUCGUGUAGCGGUGAAAUGCUUAGAUAUGACGAAGAACUCCGAUUGCGAAGGCAGCCUUCUGGAGUGCGAUUGACGCUGAGGCUCGAAAGCGCGGGUAUCAAACAGGAUUAGAUACCCUG
rnacentral:rRNA from 1 species